UCCUCCUACAAAUGCGUGUUGGUGGUUCCUGUCAUUGGACACAUAAGAAUUGGAGGCAAAGAGAUGUGGACUUGGAGAAUUCUGGAGCCAGCUUGCUCCCCACAGGAUCAAGAUCACCCUUUCUCACACAG
rnacentral:snoRNA from 1 species